GGCGACCAAGAUAGCGCCACCACCGCCACCGAAGGCCAGUAAAGAGUAGACCGGAGUACUAUACUUUGAAAUUUUGGUGGCCUGCUUCUAGCUUGCUUCUUGGUUAAUCCCCCCACUGACAGAGCUAUGGCCACGUAGUCGUCGUCGAGAGUUUUACUGCUAAAUACCUUGGUUGUUGAUGUAAUGUUAUUCAUUUUUGUCUGUCGCCUUCUCCGCCAGUCUCAGCUAUACGGACAGAUAUCCCAGUUGGAUUGUUGGAUAUAUAUAAAUCAAAUCUGGAUCUUCUAAUUCUUUGUUGAGAAGAUAGCAUUAUAUGGUAUAAAUUACAUGUUGUUUCAGAAUGUGGAUCUUCCCAGAUGCUUCAGGAAGCCAAUCUCUGUCUAGAACACAAGAAACUUCAGAGUGGAGCAAAACUUUAUUCAGUUUACUGAGCAUUGGUGCAGCACAGUAUUUACAUGCUUUCAUCUGCUGCUUCUCUUUUCCUUGCACAAACAGUUCCAUGU
rnacentral:lncRNA from 1 species